UACGGAGGGUGCAAGCGUUAUCCGGAUUCACUGGGUUUAAAGGGUGCGUAGGUGGGUUGGUAAGUCAGUGGUGAAAUCUCCAAGCUUAACUUGGAAACUGCCAUUGAUACUAUCAGUCUUGAAUAUUGUGGAGGUUAGCGGAAUAUGUCAUGUAGCGGUGAAAUGCUUAGAUAUGACAUAGAACACCAAUUGCGAAGGCAGCUCACUACACAAUCAUUGACUCUGAGGCACGAAAGCGUGGGGAUCAAACAGG
rnacentral:rRNA from 1 species